rnacentral:rRNA from 1 species
UACAGGGGGUGCAAACGUUGCUCGGAAUCAUUGGGCGUAAAGCGCACGUAGGCGGUUCGUUAUGUCGGAUGUGAAAGCCCUUGGCUUAACCGAGGAAGUGCACCCGAAACUGGCGAGCUAGAGUACUAAAGAGGAUCGCGGAAUUCCCGGUGUAGAGGUGAAAUUCGUAGAUAUCGGGAGGAACACCAGUGGCGAAGGCGGCGAUCUGGGAAGAUACUGACGCUGAGGUGCGAAAGCGUGGGGAGCAAACAGG